rnacentral:rRNA from 1 species
UACAGAGGGUGCGAGCGUUAAUCGGAAUUACUGGGCGUAAAGCGUGCGUAGACGGUUAUUUAAGUCGGGUGUGAAAGCCCCGGGCUCAACCUGGGAAUUGCAUUCGAGACUGAAUAGCUAGGGUACGGUAGAGGGAAGCGGAAUUUCCGGUGUAGCGGUGAAAUGCGUAGAUAUCGGAAGGAACAUCAGUGGCGAAGGCGGCGCUCUGGGCCGGAACUGACGCUGAGGAGCGAAAGCCAGGGGAGCAAACGGG